rnacentral:rRNA from 1 species
GAUGAACGCUGACAGAAUGCUUAACACAUCAGCAAUUGAUUGGUGGCGGACGGGUGAGUAACGCGUAAAGAACUUGCCUCCCAGGUAGGGACAACAUUUGGAAACGAAUGCUAAUACCUACUACUGUGAGAGAGCUUUGCGUACCAUUAGCUAGUUGGAGAGGUAACGGCUCACCAAGGCAAUGAUGGGUAGCCGGCCUGAGAGGGUGAUCGGCCAAAAGGGGACUGAGACACGGCACUUACUCAUACGGGAGGCAGGAGUGAGGAAUAUUGGACAAUGGACCAAAGUCUGAUCCAGCAAUUCUGUGUGAACGAUGAAGUUUUCGGAAUGUAAAGGGCUGUCAGUUGGGAAGCGGUACCAACAGAAGAAGUGACGGCUAACUCCGUGCCAGCAGCCGCGGUAAUAC